UGAGACAUUCCAUCAGAUUAACAGCUGAGACCUGGGAGGCAGCCCCGCUCCCUCACACCAGCUUCUGCAUCUGGGGAAAACCAGAAAAAAGAGCCCAUCCACCUCAUUAGACCGCCUCCUUUUUCCUUUCCCACUCACUCUCUCUGUCAGCAACACUCAAGAGUCCAAAGGUCUUGAGAUAUCUCUGAGACGCCAGGGAGAGAAGACAGGAAGCCGCGCACCCUCUCUCUGAUGUCCAGCCUGAGCAACAUAGAAACAAAUGAGAACUUACCUUAACUUUCAGCAUGCCCUACGAACUAGAACAUCUCUUCAUUCUCAACACACGCUACACACUCGGUCUUCUUAGAGCAGCUAUCCAAGUGCAGACACUGGAGAAAGGGAGGACAUGAUUGUUCUAAGAUGAGUGGAUGCCUCCCCUAUCUUCAGUGAACAAGCCAGCGCUCCAAUAAAAAGCAAACUUAUCUAAAAUAGUGGCUCUCAACCUUCCUGAUACUGUGACCCUUGAUGCAGUGUUGUGAUUAUCUCCAAGUAUAAAGUUAUAUUCAUUGCUACUUCAGAACUGCAAUUUUUGCCACUGUUUUGACACGUAAUAUAAAUAUCUGAUAUGCAGAUGGUCUUAGGAGAUCCCAGUGAAAGGAUUGUUCAACGCCCCCCCCAACCCCCCCCACACACACACACACACACACACACAAGAGAGGCCAUGACCCACAGGCUGAGAGCCACUGAUCUAAAGCUGACACGGGACAGGACUGUCAGAUUCUUAUGAAAACAAACUCAAGAAUACUGACUGACUUCAGCAUAUUAGAGACAUCAUCAAGUCCUCCUUUUUGUAUUAGGCUAUUUAACUACAGUUACGCCAUCUCCUGAUAGUAGUCUAUGAAUACUUUAGAUGUUAAACCUAUCUUGGGUAAAACUGGUCUCUGAUCACUUAGACCAGCCCUUAAUUCCCAUACAAUGAUGACCCUGAGCUAAAUGUCAACUACCUGGCCAUUCAACUACUAUCUCUCUGCUUCUGUACAAUUCUUGCUUGCUGUGGAUUUCCAGAGCUGCCUCUCUGUAUAUGGCACAAUUGUAAGUUUUACCCUUAAAAACUGGAACCAACUAGAGGUCAAGGCUGUUUGCCACAACAAUCUGCUUGGGACAGUCCCAUUGGUAGUUAAUAAAGACUCCAUUCCACUUA